rnacentral:rRNA from 1 species
UACGGGAGGCAGCAGUGAGGAAUAUUGGUCAAUGGGCGCGAGCCUGAACCAGCCAAGUAGCGUGCAGGAUGACGGCCCUAUGGGUUGUAAACUGCUUUUAUGCGGGGAUAAAGUCGGCAACGUGUACCCGUUUGUAGGUACCGCAUGAAUAAGGACCGGCUAAUUCCGUGCCAGCAGCCGCGGUAAU